rnacentral:rRNA from 1 species
AAUCAACGCUGGCGGCGUGCCUCAGACAUGCAAGUCGAACGAUUAAAGCUCUCUUCGGAGAGUGUAUAGAGUGGCGCACGGGUGAGUAACACGUAAGUAAUCUACCCUCGAGUGGGGAAUAACAACCGGAAACGGUUGCUAAUACCGCAUAAUGCAGCGGCACCGCAAGGUGACAGUUGUUAAAGAUUUAUCGCUUGAGGAGGAGCUUGCGGCAGAUUAGCUAGUUGGUAGGGUAACGGCUUACCAAGGCUACGAUCUGUAACCGGUCUAAGAGGACGGUCGGUCACACUGACACUGAAUAACGGGUCAGACUCCUACGGGAGGCAGCAGUCGGGAAUUUUGGGCAAUGGGCGAAAGCCUGACCCAGCAACGCCGCGUGAAGGGUGAAGUAUUUCGGUAUGUAAACUUCGAAAGAAUAGGAAGAAUUAAUGACGGUACUAUUUAUAAGGUCCGGCUAACUACGUG